rnacentral:tRNA from 1 species
AGGGUUAUAACUCAAUGGUAGAGUGUUACCUUGACGUGGUGGAAGAAAUUAGUUCGAGCUUGAUUAUCUCUA